rnacentral:lncRNA from 1 species
CUUGGAAUUCUUCAGGGGUAAAGUGUUUUGAGUUUGGAAUUCUUCAGGGGUAAAGGGUUUUUGAGCUUGGAAUUCUUCAGGGGUAAAGAGGUUUGAGAUUGAAAUUUUUCAGAGCUUGGAAUUCUUCAGGGGUAAAGGGUUUUGAGCUUGAAAUUCUUCAGGGGUAAAAGGUUUUGAGCUUGGAAUUCUUCAGGGGUAAAGGGUUUUGAGCUUGGAAUUCUUUAGGAGUGAAGGGUUUUGAGCUUGGAAUUUUUCAGGGGUAAAAGGUUUUGAGCUUGGAAUUCUUCAGGGGUAAAGGGUUUUGAGCUUGGAGUUUUGCAAUUAUUCAGGGGUAAAAGGUUUUGAGCUUGGAAUUCUUCAGGGGUAAAGAGUUUUAAGCUUGGAAUUCUUCAGGGGUAAACAGUUUUGAGCUUGGAAUUCUUCAGGGGUAUAACUAUGAAAAACAUGUAUCCUCGACAGGGGAGUACGGAU